rnacentral:rRNA from 1 species
GAUGAACGCUGACAGAAUGCUUAACACAUGCAAGUCUUUGGCGAAGCUGUGCUUGCACGGCCUAGCCAAGGCGGACGGGUGAGUAACGCGUAAGGAACUUGCCCUGCAGUCAGGGAUAACAGACGGAAACGACUGAUAAGACCUGGUAAAGUCAGGCGGACUCAUGUCCAGCCUGAUGAAAAGAGAUGCUGCAGGAGAGCCUUGCGUCCUAUUAGCUUGUUGGUGGGGUAACGGCCCACCAAGGCGAUGAUAGGUAGCCGGCCUGAGAGGGUGGACGGCCACAAGGGGACUGAGAUACGGCCCUUACUCCUACGGGAGGCAGCAGUGGGGAAUAUUGGACAAUGGGGGCAACCCUGAUCCAGCAAUUCUGUGUGCACGAUGAAGGUUUUCGGAUUGUAAAGUGCUUUCAGCAGGGAAGAAAAAAAUGACGGUACCUGCAGAAGAAGCGACGGCUAAAUACGUG